rnacentral:lncRNA from 1 species
AUAUAUAUAUACUGAACAAAGUUCAACAUAAUAUCUCCAAUUGUUAUAUUUCCUUUUUACAUUGCCAAGUAAUCUGCAAGCAAUAUUAUUUUCUUCUGUCACCUGUCACCUCUACUCCUUUUUUUUGUUUUUCUGUUGUUGUGGUUGCUGCUGUUAUCCUGUAUCAUUUGGACUCUUUUUUGCAAGUAUAAUGAAUUUUAGAGCCAGCUGUAAAGAACUUUUAUGUAUUUUACAGUUAGAUUUAGGUUACUUUGUAAAGGUUUGUCAACUGUUGAUUCUAAAUUAUAAUCAUAAAUUUAUAUACUACUGGUAAAUAUAGUGCAUGUAUAUUAAAACAUUAUUAGGAAUUUUAGUGAAAUAAUUUUUAUGCACACUGAAAUAAGAAUAAUGGUAGUCAUAGGACUCUCUCCUCUCUAUUUUUAAAAUUCCUUUCCAGACAUAAGGCAAAGAUUAACAUAAGAAAGUUUACUAAAAGACAC